CGCACGGGUGAGUAACGCGUGGGGACCUACCUCUUAGUGGGGGAUAACGGUUGGAAACGACCGCUAAUACCGCAUACGCCCUUCGGGGGAAAGAUUUAUCGCUAAGAGAUGGACCCGCGUUGGAUUAGAUAGUUGGUGAGGUAACGGCUCACCAAGUCAGCGAUCCAUAGCUGGUUUGAGAGGAUGAUCAGCCACACUGGGACUGAGACACGGCCCAGACUCCUACGGGAGGCAGCAGUGGGGAAUCUUGGACAAUGGGGGCAACCCUGAUCCAGCCAUGCCGCGUGAGUGAAGAAGGCCCUAGGGUCGUAAAACUCUUUCGCCUGUGAUGAUAAUGACAGUAGCAGGUAAAGAAACCCCGGCUAACUCCGUGCCAGCAGCCGCGGUAAUACGGAGGGGGUUAGCGUUGUUCGGAAUUACUGGGCGUAAAGCGCACGUAGGUGGAUUAGAAAGUUAGAGGUGAAAUCCCGGGGCUCAACCCCGGAACUGCCUUUAAAACUACUAGUCUAGAGUUCGAGAGAGGUGAGUGGAAUUCCGAGUGUAGAGGUGAAAUUCGUAGAUAUUCGGAGGAACACCAGUGGCGAAGGCGGCUCACUGGCUCGAUACUGACGCUGAGGUGCGAAAGUGUGGGGAGCAAACAGGAUUAGAUACCCUGGUAGUCCACACCGUAAACGAUGAAUGCCAGUCGUCGGGUAGUAUACUAUUCGGUGACACACCUAACGGAUUAAGCAUUCCGCCUGGGGAGUACGGUCGCAAGAUUAAAACUCAAAGGAAUUGAC
rnacentral:rRNA from 1 species